AGUAGAGAUGGGGUUUCACCAUGUUGGGCAGGCUGGUCUCAAACUCCUGACCUCAGGUGAUCCACCCACC
rnacentral:miRNA from 1 species